GACGAACGCUGGCGGCGUGCUUAACACAUGCAAGUCGAACGGUGAACCUCUUCGGAGGGGAUCAGUGGCGAACGGGUGAGUAACACGUGGGCAACCUGCCCCCGGCUCUGGGAUAACUCCAAGAAAUUGGGGCUAAUACCGGAUGUUCACCGCUUCCCGCAUGGGUGGUGGUGGAAAGGGUUUCCGGCUGGGGAUGGGCCCGCGGCCUAUCAGCUUGUUGGUGGGGUAGUGGCCUACCAAGGCGACGACGGGUAGCCGGCCUGAGAGGGUGACCGGCCACACUGGGACUGAGACACGGCCCAGACUCCUACGGGAGGCAGCAGUGGGGAAUAUUGCGCAAUGGGCGGAAGCCUGACGCAGCGGCGCCGCGUGGGGGAUGACGGCCUUCGGGUUGUAAACCUCUUUCAGCAGGGACGAAGCGCAAGUGACGGUACCUGCAGAAGAAGCACCGGCCAACUACGU
rnacentral:rRNA from 1 species